rnacentral:rRNA from 1 species
GACGAACGCUGGCGGCGUGCUUAACACAUGCAAGUCGAACGGAAAGGCCCUGCUUUUGUGGGGUGCUCGAGUGGCGAACGGGUGAGUAACACGUGAGUAACCUGCCCUUGACUUUGGGAUAACUUCAGGAAACUGGGGCUAAUACCGGAUAGGAGCUCCUGCUGCAUGGUGGGGGUUGGAAAGUUUCGGCGGUUGGGGAUGGACUCGCGGCUUAUCAGCUUGUUGGUGGGGUAGUGGCUUACCAAGGCUUUGACGGGUAGCCGGCCUGAGAGGGUGACCGGCCCCAUUGGGCCUGGGGUACGGCCCGGACUGCUGCGGGCGGCAUCGGUGGGGGAUAUUGCGCGCUAGGCCGAGGCCUGAUGGAGCGCCGCCGGGUGGUGGAUCUCGGUCUUCGGGUUGGAAACCGCUUUCGCCUGUGACGAAGCGUGAGUGACGGUACUGGAUAAAGAAGCACCGGCUAACUACGUG